rnacentral:lncRNA from 1 species
GUAGGGCCCAUGGAUGGCAGACGGGCCCACAGGGAGUGCUAGCCUGCAGACGCAUGGGCCAGCCACAUGUGGGCAUGUGGCCCAAUGGGCGCAUGGCCCAACAGGUACACGACCCAGCAUGGGCCGACUGCAAGCAUGAGGCCAAGCACGGGCGCGCUCAGGCGUGCGCGGUGCACGGGCCGGCCCAGCGCAUGCAAGCGCCCAAGCCCAAUGCCCUGCAUGGUCCACCAUGGAAUACAAAAUGUUGGGUGGUUCAUGGAGGCCGUGUGGACCAAUCACGUGGUCCACAUGUGGUCUAUGGGUGAUUUUGCACGAUCCGAUGGCUCUGGAGCUAGCCGUUCAUGAUCGGAUGGUUGAGGAUGACUCCAGGCAUGAUCAGGUUUGAUCUGAGGCCUUGAUGUGUGCAAUCAGAUAGCUCUGGUGCGACCCAAUCAUGAUCGAAUGGCCACGGAUGGUUCUAAGAUUUUAUUCAGCCUUGGUAUCCUAUAGAAAUAGUAUUUUGGAGUUUCUGAAACCUAUAUAGCUUCGAUUGACAAGUCAUUUGUUGUGUUGGAAUGUUGAUGAUGUUCUGAUCAUGUAAAGAAGACAUCAGAGCCAAGGAGAGGCCUUGGUAGCCACCGAAAGAAAGUUUGAUGUUUGCUGAGGGUGUGCAGCAGGUAGAGCAGACAUUGUAGAGCACCGAUAGGGGAUCGAGG